rnacentral:lncRNA from 1 species
UUUCAAGCUUCCAAGCUCGAUUAGCAAGGAAAACUGAAAUUCGGGCUAAAAUGGAAAAAUACCAAGUUGUGGACGAAAUGAUAAAAGUAGCCAUUUUCGCAUACGAGUUUUGAACAAGCCAGCUCGGGAAUCGGGACGGGUCGAAGGUUCGAUCACACUAUCCAAAGGACUUUCAUCUGGGUAAAUGGCUUGUAAAACUUAAGUAUGGCAUGU